rnacentral:tRNA from 1 species
GGUGAGGUGGCUGAGUGGUCGAAAGCAGAGCUUUGCUAAAGCUCCGAGCUCCAAAAGGGCUCCGGGGGUUCGAAUCCCCCCCUCACCG